rnacentral:tRNA from 1 species
GCCGAGAUGGUGAAAUAGGUAAACACGCUGGACUUAAAAUCCAGUGCCCUGGAAAGGGCUUGCAAGUUCGAUUCUUGUUCUCGGUA